rnacentral:rRNA from 1 species
UUCCCUCUGUCUUCGUGCCUAAUACAUGCCAGUCGAGCGAACAGACGAGGAGCUUGCUCCUCUGACGUUAGCGGCGGACGGGUGAGUAACACGUGGAUAACCUACCUAUAAGACUGGGAUAACUUCGGGAAACCGGAGCUAAUACCGGAUAAUAUAUUGAACCGCAUGGUUCAAUAGUGAAAGACGGUUUUGCUGUCACUUAUAGAUGGAUCCGCGCCGCAUUAGCUAGUUGGUAAGGUAACGGCUUACCAAGGCAACGAUGCGUAGCCGACCUGAGAGGGUGAUCGGCCACACUGGAACUGAGACACGGUCCAGACUCCUACGGGAGGCAGCAGUAGGGAAUCUUCCGCAAUGGGCGAAAGCCUGACGGAGCAACGCCGCGUGAGUGAUGAAGGUCUUCGGAUCGUAAAACUCUGUUAUUAGGGAAGAACAAAUGUGUAAGUAACUAUGCACGUCUUGACGGUACCUAAUCAGAAAGCCACGGCUAACUACGCG